UUGACUGUUUCAAAUUCGUACAGGAGGAAUACUUCCAAAAUGUACUUUCAUUUAUUAUCGAUCCGGGAUUUAAAUCGUCGGGUAUUUCUUUUACCAAACAUUUAUAAAAAUUCCACUUUCUUAAACUCGUUACCGAUAAAUUAGGCGGGCCAUUUUAAAACGUAGAUUUGUUGUAACUCUCCUUCUCCGUUUUUCGCCACUUAAUACUACGGUUUUAUUUUAUUAUCAUUUUUUUUUUCACAGUAAAUUUAUAGCCCGUUCGUAUAUAAUAGGCGAGUAUCUUAAUUCAACACGGUGAAAAUUUAUUUGUGUGUACUUAUAUUAUAUAAAUAUACUACAACGGGGGAGUAAUUCGAAAAUGUAUAUCGGAAAUAUCCAAACGGCGAUAGCUGCUUCUGUUGUAGCAGUAUAGGUAUUGAAUUAUAUCGGGCCAUUAAAGACGAGUGAAUGGCCAAAAAAUAUAAAUUACCAUCGGGCGUAUAGAAUUGGCUAUAAAAACAUUAUUGGAAGGGUGUUUUUUUUCCUCUGUCUGAAAUAAUUACAUA